rnacentral:rRNA from 1 species
CGCAAGCCUGACGGAGCAAUACCGCGUGAGGGAGGAAGGCUCUUGGGUCGUAAACCUCUUUUCUCAGGGAAGAACACAAUGACGGUACCUGAGGAAUCAGCAUCGGCUAACUCCGUGCCAGCAGCCGCGGUAAUACGGAGGAUGCAAGCGUUAUCCGGAAUCAUUGGGCGUAAAGCGUCCGCAGGUGGCUUUUCAAGUCUGCUGUCAAAGCCCGGGGCUCAACCCUGGAGAGGCAGUGGAAACUGAGGAGCUGGAGUGCGGUAGGGGCAGAGGGAAUUCCCGGUGUAGCGGUGAAAUGCGUAGAUAUCGGGAAGAACACCAGUGGCGAAGGCGCUCUGCUGGACCGUAACUGACACUCAUGGACGAAAGCUAGGGGAGCG